AGCGAACGCUGGCGGCAGGCUUAACACAUGCAAGUCGAGCGGGCACUUCGGUGUCAGCGGCAGACGGGUGAGUAACACGUGGGAACGUACCCUUCGGUUCGGAAUAACGCUGGGAAACUAGCGCUAAUACCGGAUACGCCCUUUUGGGGAAAGGUUUACUGCCGAAGGAUCGGCCCGCGUCUGAUUAGCUAGUUGGUGGGGUAAUGGCCUACCAAGGCGACGAUACGUAGCUGGUCUGGGAGGAUGAUCAGCCGGACCGGGACUGAGACAAGGCACAAGCAACGAAGGGAGGCCACAGGAGGGAAUUCUGGACCAGGGGUGCCACGCGAAGGCAGCCGGGCCGCGGGAGUGGAAAAGGCCUUUGGGUUGUAAAGCUCUUUUGUCCGGGACGAUAAUGACGGUACCGGAAGAAUAAGCCCCGGCUAACUUCGUG
rnacentral:rRNA from 1 species